rnacentral:lncRNA from 1 species
CGAGCCGGAACGACAGACCCCACAAGUGGCGGGCGGGAACAGCCUCUGCGGGACUCCGUCCUGGCUGGCAUGACUCAGGGCCGAGCUCUCAGCCGCCUCCUGGGCCCAGAAGGAUGGGUGACCAUCUGGCUCAGGAAGCGAGUGUCUCCGCGUCUCUUCUGGGAGUGGGGGAUACAGGGCGACGCCUUCUCUGCUUCCGGGUGCGAGGCCCACAGAGGGGGCGGCCACAGGCAGAACCACCACUUCCCACAGGCAGGGAUGAAGCGGUUUCUGAGCAGACCCAAGGGGUCAGCACAGGCGCCCCCACAGUCCUGGAGGGGCUGCAGCCGUUCUCUCUCACGGGCAGGGUGAGAGUCCCUCCCGGGGGCCUCCACACGACACUCACCCCAGGGAGGACACGGCAGACCCGUCCCCCGAGAGCAGAGCCCUGCUCAGCCGGCUGUGCCUCCAGCUGGACACUCUCAGUGAGCCACGUGGAUGGUCACCGGGCAUUGUCUGGUGCUGGACACUGUGUCGUGCCCUCUACAUGGCUAGGAACUAAUUGCUGCACUCAUCCUGUGAUCACCCAGCUCUAGACAACAGACCUGCCACCCUGCUGUGUCCACUGAGACAGCGCCCUACAACUUGCUGUGUCCAUCCAUUGCUGUGCUGACAGAGCAGUCUCGUGACUGCUGUAAAGGGGACAUUUCCUUCAUAUGUGAAACAUGCUCUUUGAGGGUAUAUAACCACUCUGUACACCCCACUUCUUGGGUACUCAUCCUUCCUUGGGGAUGGAAGACCUCGGGCUACAUGGUCCUCAUAUUUGUCUCAGAAUAAACUCACCUCAAUUUUCAUUUAUAGAUUGGUUACAGAUUACUUUCGUCAACACCUGGGAACUCUGUUCAGGGCCACUGGGGCACUGAGAGGAGGGUUGUCUCCCAGCAGAGGCCCUGGGAGAUGAGUUGGAAGAGAGCGAGCCUUCUCAUGCCCAGGGUCAUAGCUGAGGUCAGGUCCCCAGUGGACAUUCCAUUGCCCCAUCUCACCUGCAGGAACCCCCUGAAGUUUGCUCUGGGGAACCCCAUCCCGAGAGAUGUUAAUAGGGGUCGGAGUGGGGCGGGGAGGAGAGGGGUGCCACGGGAAACGAGUUUGGAGACCAGGCUGCCUCUCAAGGAAAACUCCUGCCUGAGAGGGUUCUCCUCGUCCAGAGCUGGAGUCAGGCCAAGGACGGGAGGCGGCAGCGUCCACAGGGUGGGUCUCCGGGAGCCAUAACCAGGCUCACAGGAUGAG